rnacentral:rRNA from 1 species
GAUGAACGCUGGCGGCGUGCCUAACACAUGCAAGUCGAGCGUGAACCCUGCGAAUGAAACUUCGGUCGAUUUUGCAGGGGGAAAGCGGCGGACGGGUGAGUAACGCGUAGGUAACCUGCCCCAUACUGAGGGAUAGCCUCGGGAAACCGGGAUUAAUACCUCAUAACACCGUAUAUUCGCAUGGAUGUGCGGUCAAAGAUUUAUCGGUAUGGGAUGGGCCUGCGUCUGAUUAGCUGGUUGGUGGGGUAACGGCCUACCAAGGCGACGAUCAGUAGCCGACCUGAGAGGGUGAUCGGCCACAUUGGAACUGAGACACGGUCCAAACUCCUACGGGAGGCAGCAGUGAGGAAUAUUGGUCAAUGGGCGAGAGCCUGAACCAGCCAUGUCGCGUGAAGGAAGAAUGUCCUAUGGAUUGUAAACUUCUUUUAUACAGGAAUAAAGUGUACUACGUGUAGUAUUUUGUAUGUACUGUAUGAAUAAGGAUCGGCUAACUCCGUGCC